rnacentral:rRNA from 1 species
GCAGAGCACUCCUACGGGAGGCAGCAGUGGGGAAUCUUGCGCAAUGGGCGAAAGCCUGACGCAGCCAUGCCGCGUGAAUGAUGAAGGUCUUAGGAUUGUAAAAUUCUUUCACCGGGGACGAUAAUGACGGUACCCGGAGAAGAAGCCCCGGCUAACUUCGUGCCAGCAGCCGCGGUAAUACGAAGGGGGCUAGCGUUGCUCGGAAUUACUGGGCGUAAAGGGAGCGUAGGCGGACUGUUUAGUCAGAGGUGAAAGCCCAGGGCUCAACCUUGGAAUUGCCUUUGAUACUGGCAGUCUUGAGUACGGAAGAGGUAUGUGGAACUCCGAGUGUAGAGGUGAAAUUCGUAGAUAUUCGGAAGAACACCAGUGGCGAAGGCGACAUACUGGUCCGUUACUGACGCUGAGGCUCGAAAGCGUGGGGAGCAAACAGGAUUAGAUACCCUGGUAG